ACUUUGGAAUAAUCUUCCGUGUUCUUUGAAGGGCUGCUGCACUGGAGGAUCAUCCCACGAAAAGUUGACAGAUCGAAAUCCAAUAUCCUUGGGAGUGUGUUGUGUGACAUGUUGAAAAUUCCUAAGUCAACAUUAUCAAGGUAGAAAACCUGCCAAUUGAGUGUGAUCCAGUAAAUAUAUAUUCUUAAUUUAGAUACAUGGUGAAGUAUUGAGGAGUACGAUCCUGACCUGAAGGAAAAUAUGGCAACCUUCUAAGUGUGUGAUGGCUCGGUUGUUCAGCAUGUCAGCUUUUAACUUGGUUACAGCUUUCAACAAAUCUUGUAAUACAUACUCGCACCAAUUGAAAUCAGAUAUUCUCUCAGGGUUUACUAAUGCUGCCCAAUAAUCAAUUGUAGCAGCAUCAUGCUUGCUGGUUGGUGCAAGCAAGUGACCCAUGGCAAAAAUAACUAAAGCCAUUUUAAAACUGUCUUUCUCGAUAGUUGAUGAAAAUUUUUCUGACAGUGGACGACAUAAAACUUUCUCAGCUGAUUUCAAUAUCUGAUUCCCCUUUUCAGGCAUCCCGAGCGCGGCACGUAUGAUGUUUACUGUGGUUUCUUUCGGUGGCUCCUGUUUUGCAAUGUCCAGUUGCCCACAUGGUAUACCAAAUACCUUAUGAACAUCUACAUCUGUGAACCUCAACCUUCUGAGAUUAUCAAUAAUGAUAGAUCUGCUAAUGGUGUCCACUCUAUUCAUCACCCAUUUACUGAAUUUAAGGUUGAUCCUUGGUAGUGGUCUGAUUUUGAGGAUACCUCCCCAACCCAUUUCUUGAACAAGGAAAACUUUGUACUCGUCGAACUGAGAUGUUACUGAAAGUACCUUCUGCACAGAAGUCCUCGAUGUUUGACUUGGGCCAGUAGAAUGUAUAUUGAAGAACUCAGGGUCGUCAAGAGGGUCUGGAUCUU
rnacentral:lncRNA from 1 species